rnacentral:rRNA from 1 species
AGUGAACGCUGGCGGUAGGCCUAACACAUGCAAGUCGAACGGCAGCACAGUAAGAGCUUGCUCUUACGGGUGGCGAGUGGCGGACGGGUGAGGAAUACAUCGGAAUCUACUUUUUCGUGGGGGAUAACGUAGGGAAACUUACGCUAAUACCGCAUACGACCUACGGGUGAAAGCAGGGGAUCUUCGGAACUUGCGCGAUAGAAUGAGCCGAUGUCGGAUUUGCUAGUUGGCGGGGUAAAGGCCCACCAAGGCGACGAUCCGUAGCUGGUCUGAGAGGAUGAUCAGCCACACUGGACCUGAGACACGGUCCAGACUCCUACGGGAGGCAGCAGUGGGGAAUAUUGGACAAUGGGCGCAAUCCUGAUCCAGCCAUACCGCGUGGGUGAAGAAGGCCUUCGGGUUGUAAAGCCCUUUUGUUGGGAAAGAAAAGCAGCAGGUUAAUACCCCGCUGUUCUGACGGUACCCAAAGAAUAAGCACCGGCUAACUUCGUG